rnacentral:rRNA from 1 species
CAGUCGAACGAAGCUUGAUUACGGAUUCUUCGGAUGAAGUAUGAUAUGACUGACUGUCGGACGGGUGAGUAACGCGUGAGUAACCUGCCCUUCAGAGGGGGAUAGCGUUUGGAAACGAACGGUAAUACCGCAUAAUGUAUUUUGACCGCAUGAUCGAAAUACCAAAGAUUUAUCGCUGAAGGAUGGACUCGCGUCUGAUUAGGUAGUUGGUGGGGUAACGGCCUACCAAGCCGACGAUCAGUAGCCGGACUGAGAGGUUGAUCGGCCACAUUGGGACUGAGACACGGCCCAGACUCCUACGGGAGGCAGCAGUGGGGAAUAUUGCACAAUGGGCGCAAGCCUGAUGCAGCAACGCCGCGUGAAGGAAGACGGUUUUCGGAUUGUAAACUUCUGUUCUUAGUGAAGAAUAAUGACGGUAGCUAAGGAGCAAGCCACGGCUAACUACGUGCCAGCAGCCGCGGUAAUACGUAGGUGGCAAGCGUUGUCCGGAAUUACUGGGUGUAAAGGGAGCGCAGGCGGGUGAUCAAGUCAGCUGUGAAAACUACGGGCUUAACCCGUAGACUGCAGUUGAAACUGUUCAUCUUGAGUGAAGUAGAGGUUGGCGGAAUUCCGAGUGUAGCGGUGAAAUGCGUAGAUAUUCGGAGGAACACCGGUGGCGAAGGCGGCCAACUGGGCUUUAACUGACGCUGAGGCUCGAAAGUGUGGGGAGCAAACAGGAUUAGAUACCCUGGUAGUCCACACUGUAAACGAUGAUUGCUAGGUGU